rnacentral:rRNA from 1 species
UAAUUUAAGGUCUAGCCUGCCCAAUGAGGUUUCAAUGGCUGCGGUAUUUUGACCGUACAAAGGUAGCAUAAUCAUUAGUUUCUUAAUUAGAAGCUGGUAUGAAUGGCUUGAUGAGAAAGAUUCUGUCUUUAUAUAAUUUUAGUAGAAAUUUAUUUUUAGGUUAAAAAGCCUAAAUAUUUUUGGAGGACGAGAAGACCCUAUAGAGUUUAAUUUAAUUUUAAAUUUUGAUUUUGAGGAAUUUAAUUUUAUGGAAUUUGAACUUGAAUUUUGUUGGGGUGACGAGAAAAUUUAAUAAACUUUUUUUUUAUAACUACAUUGAUUUAUGAAUAUUUGAUCCAUUACUAGUGAUUAUAAGAUUAAAUUACCUUAGGGAUAACAGCGUAAUUUUUUUGGUGAGUUCUUAUCGAUAAAAAAGUUUGCGACCUCGAUGUUGGAUUAAAAUUUACUAUUGGCGCAGAAGUUGAAUAGUUAGGUCUGUUCGACCUUUAAAAUUUUACAUGAUCUGAGUUUAAACCGGUGUGAGCCAGGUUGGUUUCUAUCCUUAAUGAGUUAAAAUAUUUUAGUACGAAAGGACCGGAUAUUUAUAAAAUUUAUUUUUGUUUUGAAUAUUAGUUACUUUGGCAGAUUAGUGCAUUAAAUUUAGAAUUUAAAUAUGUAUGUUAUACAGGUAAUACUUGUUUGUUUUUGAUUUUUUACUAAUAUUUAUUAG